rnacentral:rRNA from 1 species
CCUACGGGUGGCAGCAGUGAGGAAUAUUGGUCAAUGGACGCGAGCCUGAACCAGCCCAGUCGCGUGAAGGAAGACGGUCCUAUGGAUUGUAAACCUCUUUUGUCAGGGAGCAAAAGACGACACGCGUGGCGUUCCGCGAGUACCUGAUGAAAAAGCAUCGGCUAACUCCGUGCCAGCAGCCGCGGGAAUACGGAGGAUGCGAGCGUUCUCCGGAUUUAUUGGGUUUAAAGGUUGCGCAGGCGGAAGAUUAAGUCAGCGGUAAAAUUGAGAGGCUCAACCUCUUCGCGCCGUUGAAACUGGUUUUCUUGAGUGAGUGAGAAGGAUGCGGAAUGCGUGGUGUAGCGGUGAAAUGCUUAGAUAUCACGCAGAACCCCGAUUGCGAAGGCAGCAUACCGACGCUCAACUGACGCUCAUGCACGAAAGUGUGGGUAUCGAACAGGAUUAGAUACCCGGGUAGUC